UUCAUUCAUUCACUAAAAAAAUUUUGAUUACAUUGAAAUGGAUGAGAUUUUUCUUCUUUUUUUUUUUUGUAUGGGGAUUGAACUCAGGACUCUGCGCUUGCGAGGCAGGCGGCAGAACCACUGAGCUAAAUCUCCAGCCGUAUUUUUCUUCUUUUCUACUGUUUGUCUCUUUUUAUCAAGUGGAGGAGGAAAGGCCAUCAGCAUUUUUGUUGUUGUGUUGUUACCAGGGAUCAAGCUCCAGAGCUCCGGCUUGCGAGGCAGCAGUGACACCACUGAGCUAAAUCCCUGGCCCCCAUCCAUCAGCAUUUUUGAUGCAGUCUUGCUAUUUAGUUCAGACUGGCCUUGAACUCAUUAUUCACUAUGUAUCCCAAGCUGGCCUCAAACUCACAGCAAUCCUCCUGCCUCAGCCUCCUGGGUGCUGGGAUUACAGAUGUGCUGUAUCACCAUACCUGGCUUCCUGUACAGUACUUGACAGCCACCCAUGAGUAGGAAUGGCUUCUGGACCUUCCAUUACUGCCCAAUGAGCUGACACACCUAGUUUUGUGAGACCAAGAUGCAGGGCCAAGGUCAUUUGGUGAUACCUACAUGUUCUUUAGGACCCAGAGCUGGAGGUGAAUGUGAGGAGUGGAGAAAAAACAAGAUCUGAACUGUAUGGAGCUAGAAGGUCGUCUGGGAAACAGCUACAUGAAAAAAGCUGAUCUGUAAGGAGAGAGUAAGGCAACGGGCUUAAAAAGAGGCAGACAGCCGGGAUGAAAGAAUGUUCUGUUGGCGCUCAGGUCCUGGGUCUGGUUAUUCUCGAACUCACCGGUCACCCUGUGUUUUGCACCGUUGCCCAUUCAGUCCUCCCCUGAACACCCUGAACCAGUACAUCUCUCGUUCUGUUUGAACUCAUUCAAGUUUCCAUAUUUGCAACAGUGGAAGAACCCUGAAGUACAGGCCCUGAGCAGGCCAACACCACAGGUCCUGGACCAAUGCUGAAGCUACAAAGAUGGACCGGAAGUGGACCUGCACCAGGCCUGGACCAAAUCGACAAUUACAGUGCUCAUACUUCCUCAAGGGCUCCUAUAAUGCUGAGGAGCCCUGAAUGCCCCGUAAGCCCAGCCCGGAGGGUCUCUUCAGAGCCACUGCGAAUGCUGCCUUCCAGUGGCAGGUGCUGCCAUGAAGAAGCUGAGCCCAGCAGGCAGACAGAGUCACAUCUGGGAUUUGCUCAUUGUUUGGCUUGGUUUCUUCACAUCCAUAAUAAAGUUAACGGUACCUACUCUUUCACUCAACCGCUACACCUCCCUCAGAGGCAGCCUUGGACUGCAGUGUUGGGAGCAAGAACAGUGGGUAACAGAACUGGAUUGAACUCCUGCCUUUACACAUGCUGCGUUAAAUCUAGAACUUUAUGGGUGACAAGAGGAUCUACUGUCUUAUAUAGUUCCU
rnacentral:lncRNA from 1 species